rnacentral:rRNA from 1 species
AUUGAACGCUGGUGGCAUGCUUAACACAUGCAAGUCGAACGGUAACGGGAAGUAGCUUGCUACUUUGCUGACGAGUGGCGGACGGGUGAGUAACGCGUAGGAACAUGCCUUUUAGUGGGGGAUAACUUGGGGAAACUCGAGCUAAUACCGCAUAAGACCUAAGGGUUAAAGGUGGCUUCGGCUAUCGCUAGAAGAUUGGCCUGCGUUAGAUUAGCUUGUUGGUGGGGUAAAGGCCUACCAAGGCGACGAUCUAUAGCUGUUCUGAGAGGAAGAUCAGCCACACUGGGACUGAGACACGGCCCAG